GAUGAACGCUAGCGGCAGGCUUAAUACAUGCAAGUCGAGGGGCAACAGGGUAGCAAUACUGGUGGCGACCGGCGCACGGGUGCGUAACACGUAUACAAUCUGCCUUUAACGAGGGGGAUAGCCUUUCGAAAGAGAGAUUAACUACCCAUAAUACGAGAUCCGGCAUCGGUAUUUUGUUGAAAGCUCCGGCGGUUAGAGAUGAGUAUGCGUCUGAUUAGCUAGUUGGUGAGGUAACGGCUCACCAAGGCGACGAUCAGUAGGGGAUCUGAGAGGACC
rnacentral:rRNA from 1 species